AUCUCUGUCCUGAGAUACAACAACAGGAUGUUCCUUGGAGAAGAAUCUCAGGAUAGAGUAUUUUUGAUCCAGUUCCAAACCUGCAAGCUCAGGCAGGUGAAACUGAGAGAGAGAUUUAUGCAUGUUGCUCACCCAAUCCAAUGUAUUGCUUAAAUGAAAAUUAGCCUGAACUUUUGGGAGUAUCCAAGGAUCCUGAAGGAGUUGGAAUUCACAAAGUUGAGCAAUAUUAACAGAAUGGCAGGCUGACUCCUUGAAGCUUAUCAAUAAAUAUUCAGUCCUUGAAGAAGACAAGAGCAAUAUUACUUGAGUGACUUCUUUCCUGAUAUCACAUUUGGUUUUAGUGAGCCUUUAAGCCAAAAAGAAAAUGCUCUUCUUAUAGAAAAAUAGCCAUUUUGUGUGCUUAUAUUCCAUCUUUUAUGGUAACUGUCAGCAUGAAAUUUGAGUAGACAUUCUGUAUUACCAAGUAGCUUUUACCAGAAUUAUAUGGAUAUAAGCUUUUCUCCCAAGUGAGUACAUCAACACUUCUGUUAUUAUCCAAAUUUUCCAGUUGAAUUGCACAGGAAAGUAGCCUAACUGACCAUAUGCAAAACAUAGAAGGUGUACAUUUAAAGUAGUAGACAAUAUUUUCUAUCAUUAAAAUCUAAUCCAGUAAUUCACUGUUAGCAACUAGUGAUAAUCUUUAAUAUCAGUGAUUUCUUAUCACAAGUAUUGUGAUACACAACAGUGAUAAAGCUAUGGGAAGCUUAUCGUUUUUCCUUUCAAAUGCCUGCUAGUUUAAAAAUAUCUUAGUCUGUAUAUUUUUCUCUUUGCACCUGUCUGUGGGUGGAUCUUGUUCCCAUAUACACUGCUUGCCAAUUACGUGUUUCUAACAGCAAAAUUGAUUAUAGACAGUCUUAUACAUAUAAGGGAAAUAGGUGGACAAAUUAGAUUAGCUUUUAACAGCAUGUAUUGCUAAUAAAGAGGCAAUUCACAACAGAGGUGUACUAGAGAUUACAGAAAGUAAAUCAGCAAUAACUGGUGCCAGUUCUAAAUCACACACAAUUAAAAAUAAUUCUAUCUUUAUCUUGAAACUUUAAAGUGAAGGUUCAGGUGACUCUGAUUUACAGAAAUGUGUUAAUGUUUGUUGUUUUCAGUUGGCUUUUUUCAUGUAGCAAAGUUAUUGCCUGCAGUUUUGUUCUGGCUGUAUUUAUUUCCUUAUUGUAGUUGUGAUCUACUGGCAUGAAUUCCUACCUUACCAGCACAGCUAUGGUAUAUUAGGCUUUCAGUGUCUGUGUGAGAGAAGGCAUGCUUCUGUUAGUACUUUGUAACUUUCCUGUGAUUAAUGGAUAUCUGAAAGCAGAAUAAAGGUGCUGUA